rnacentral:tRNA from 1 species
GCCUUCGUGGUGUAGCGGUCAGCACGCUCGACGCGUAUUCGAGAGGUCCGAGGUUCGAGUCCCGGCAAGGGCU